rnacentral:rRNA from 1 species
AGGGUUCGAUUAUGGCUCAGGAUGAACGCUAGCUACAGGCUUAACACAUGCAAGUCGAGGGGCAGCAUGAACUUAGCUUGCUAAGUUUGAUGGCGACCGGCGCACGGGUGAGUAACACGUAUCCAACCUGCCGAUGACUCGGGGAUAGCCUUUCGAAAGAAAGAUUAAUACCCGAUGGCAUAGUUCUUCCGCAUGGUAGAACUAUUAAAGAAUUUCGGUCAUCGAUGGGGAUGCGUUCCAUUAGGUUGUUGGCGGGGUAACGGCCCACCAAGCCUUCGAUGGAUAGGGGUUCUGAGAGGAAGGUCCCCCACAUUGGAACUGAGACACGGUCCAA